UCCGGGGAUAACAGGCUGAUACCGCCCAAGAGUUCAUAUCGACGGCGGUGUUUGGCACCUCGAUGUCGGCUCAUCACAUCCUGGGGCUGAAGUAGGUCCCAAGGGUAUGGCUGUUCGCCAUUUAAAGUGGUACGCGAGCUGGGUUUAGAACGUCGUGAGACAGUUCGGUCCCUAUCUGCCGUGGGCGCUGGAGAACUGAGGGGGGCUGCUCCUAGUACGAGAGGACCGGAGUGGACGCAUCACUGGUGUUCGGGUUGUCAUGCCAAUGGCACUGCCCGGUAGCUAAAUGCGGAAGAGAUAAGUGCUGAAAGCAUCUAAGCACGAAACUUGCCCCGAGAUGAGUUCUCCCUGACUCCCUGAGAGUCCUGAAGGAACGUUGAAGACGACGACGUUGAUAGGCCGGGUGUGUAAGCGCAGCGAUGCGUUGAGCUAACCGGUACUAAUGAACCGUGAGG
rnacentral:rRNA from 1 species